rnacentral:lncRNA from 1 species
UUUAAAUAGUGUUUAACUGAAUAGUAAGUGAAAGUAGUGUGAAACUGAAAGUAAAUUCGACAACUAUUUAGUAGCUUCAAACGAGACAGCUCAACAGCAGGAGAAAUGAGUUGUGAUGGCGACCAGCACACAAUGCAGUCUUCAGAUGAUGUGCUGCCCCCUCCUGGUGACAUCCAGGUCCUGUUGCUGACAUUAGAUUCUGUGUCUCUGAGCUGGAGUUCUCCUCAGGGGCUGAUCGGACCCCAGACAUUCAGAGUGACCUGGGGGUGUGACGGUGAAACAAGCUCAACAAGAGUGAAAGAUGUGCAUCAUCUUAAAAUAAGCAGUCUCAAACCUGGUGAAAAGUACCAGUUCAAUGUGGCAACAGAGGGAGAAGAUGGAAGACAAAGCAGAUGGGUCUCAGCCUCCCUAUCCACAGUACUUCCUGCUCCAGACCAGCUGACUGUUGACUCAGUGGACACCACAUCAGCUGAUGUUAGCUGGAUCCAGCCACCAGGAUUGGGCCAAACCCAACAUCAUUACCAGAUCUCCUACCRCUGUCCAGGGACAGAAGUACACAUCACUACCACAUCUUCACMCAGCAUCACUCUCUCUGACCUGCAAUGUGCUACUCAGUACUCUGUCACUGUCUGCACUGUGCUGGAAAAUGGAAAGCAAAGUCAACUGGUGUCCACAACCUUCACCACAAAACAUUUUCAGUGGUGGAAGAGACCCUCCACAGUUGCUGCAGUGUUUGUUCUACUGGCUGUGAUCAUGGGCCUGCGGGAUUCCUAUGCAGCUGCAGAGAGAGACCAGCUACAGACAAUUUACAACACCCUGACUAAAGAGAGAGACCAGCUACAGAAUAGUCUAAAUACAAGGACCACAGAGAGAGACCAGUUACAGAAUAGUCUAAAUACCAGGACCACAGAGAGAGACCAGUUACAGAAUAGUCUAAAUACCAGGACCACAGAGAGAGACCAGCUACAGAAUAGUCUAAAUACCAGGACCACAGAGAGAGACCAGCUACAGAAUAGUCUAAAUACCAGGACCACAGA